AGCGAACGCUGGCGGCAGGCCUAACACAUGCAAGUCGAACGGAUCCUUCGGGAUUAGUGGCGGACGGGUGAGUAACACGUGGGAACGUGCCUUUUGGUUCGGAACAACUCAGGGAAACUUGAGCUAAUACCGAAUGUGCCCUUCGGGGAAGGAUUAUCGCCAUUAGAGCGGCCCGCGUCUGAUUAGCUAGUUGGUGGGGUAAAGGCUCACCAAGGCUACGAUCAGUAGCUGGUCUGAGAGGAUGAUCAGCCACAUUGGGACUGAGACACGGCCCAAACUCCUACGGGAGGCAGCAGUGGGGAAUCUUGCGCAAUGGGCGAAAGCCUGACGCAGCCAUGCCGCGUGAAUGAUGAAGGUCUUAGGAUUGUAAAAUUCUUUCACCGGGGACGAUAAUGACGGUACCCGGAGAAGAAGCCCCGGCUAACUUCGUG
rnacentral:rRNA from 1 species